rnacentral:rRNA from 1 species
UACGGGGGGGGCAAGCGUUGUUCGGAAUUACUGGGCGUAAAGGGCUUGUAGGUGGCCAACUAAGUCCGACGUGAAAUCCCUAGGCUUAACCUAGGAACUGCGUCGGAUACUGGAUGGCUUGAAUCCGGGAGAGGGAUGCGGAAUUCCAGGUGUAGCGGUGAAAUGCGUAGAGAUGUGGAGGAACACCAAUGGCGAAGGCAGCUCGCUGGGACGGUACUGACGCUGAGACGCGAAAGCGUGGGGAGCAAACAGG